rnacentral:tRNA from 1 species
CGAGCUAGAGCUGGAAUAAGCGUUUUAUUUACACUAAAAAGUUGGUUGUGGAAUUCAAUCUGGCUUGA